rnacentral:rRNA from 1 species
AUUGAACGCUGGCGGCAGGCCUAACACAUGCAAGUCGAGCGGUAGCACAGAGAGCUUGCUCUCGGGUGACGAGCGGCGGACGGGUGAGUAAUGUCUGGGAAACUGCCUGAUGGAGGGGGAUAACUACUGGAAACGGUAGCUAAUACCGCAUAAUGUCGCAAGACCAAAGUGGGGGACCUUCGGGCCUCAUGCCAUCAGAUGUGCCCAGAUGGGAUUAGCUAGUAGGUGGGGUAACGGCUCACCUAGGCGACGAUCCCUAGCUGGUCUGAGAGGAUGACCAGCCACACUGGAACUGAGACACGGUCCAGACUCCUACGGGAGGCAGCAGUGGGGAAUAUUGCACAAUGGGCGCAAGCCUGAUGCAGCCAUGCCGCGUGUGUGAAGAAGGCCUUCGGGUUGUAAAGCACUUUCAGCGGGGAGGAAGGCGAUAAGGUUAAUAACCUUGUCGAUUGACGUUACCCGCAGAAGAAGCACCGGCUAACUCCGUGCCAGCAGCCGCGGUAAUACGGAGGGUGCAAGCGUUAAUCGGAAUUACUGGGCGUAAAGCGCACGCAGGCGGUCUGUCAAGUCGGAUGUGAAAUCCCCGGGCUCAACCUGGGAACUGCAUUCGAAACUGGCAGGCUAGAGUCUUGUAGAGGGGGGUAGAAUUCCAGGUGUAGCGGUGAAAUGCGUAGAGAUCUGGAGGAAUACCGGUGGCGAAGGCGGCCCCCUGGACAAAGACUGACGCUCAGGUGCGAAAGCGUGGGGAGCAAACAGGAUUAGAUACCCUGGUAGUCCACGCCGUAAACGAUGUCGAUUUGGAGGUUGUGCCCUUGAGGCGUGGCUUCCGGAGCUAACGCGUUAAAUCGACCGCCUGGGGAGUACGGCCGCAAGGUUAAAACUCAAAUGAAUUGACGGGGGCCCGCACAAGCGGUGGAGCAUGUGGUUUAAUUCGAUGCAACGCGAAGAACCUUACCUGGUCUUGACAUCCACAGAACUUUCCAGAGAUGGAUUGGUGCCUUCGGGAACUGUGAGACAGGUGCUGCAUGGCUGUCGUCAGCUCGUGUUGUGAAAUGUUGGGUUAAGUCCCGCAACGAGCGCAACCCUUAUCCUUUGUUGCCAGCGGUUCGGCCGGGAACUCAAAGGAGACUGCCAGUGAUAAACUGGAGGAAGGUGGGGAUGACGUCAAGUCAUCAUGGCCCUUACGACCAGGGCUACACACGUGCUACAAUGGCAUAUACAAAGAGAAGCGACCUCGCGAGAGCAAGCGGACCUCAUAAAGUAUGUCGUAGUCCGGAUUGGAGUCUGCAACUCGACUCCAUGAAGUCGGAAUCGCUAGUAAUCGUAGAUCAGAAUGCUACGGUGAAUACGUUCCCGGGCCUUGUACACACCGCCCGUCACACCAUGGGAGUGGGUUGCAAAAGAAGUAGGUAGCUUAACCUUCGGGAGGGCGCUUACCACUUUGUGAUUCAUGACUGGGGUGA